UACGUAGGAUCCAAGCGUUGUCCGGAUUUACUGGGCGUAAAGAGCGUGUAGGCGGCCAAGCAGGUCCGUUGUGAAAACUGGAGGCUUAACCUCCAGACGUCGACGGAAACCGCGUGGCUAGAGUCCGGAAGAGGAGAGUGGAAUUCCUGGUGUAGCGGUGAAAUGCGCAGAUAUCAGGAAGAACACCAAUGGCGAAGGCAGCUCUCUGGGACGGUACUGACGCUGAGACGCGAAAGCGUGGGGAGCGAACAGG
rnacentral:rRNA from 1 species